rnacentral:rRNA from 1 species
GACGAACGCUGGCGGCGUGCUUAACACAUGCAAGUCGAACGGAAAGGCCCUGCUUUUGUGGGGUGCUCGAGUGGCGAACGGGUGAGUAACACGUGAGUAACCUGCCCUUGACUUUGGGAUAACUUCAGGAAACUGGGGCUAAUACCGGAUAGGAGCUCCUGCUGCGUGGUGGGGGUUGGAAAGUUUCGGCGGUUGGGGAUGGACUCGCGGCUUAUCAGCUUGUUGGUGGGGUAGUGGCUUACCAAGGCUUUGACGGGUAGCCGGCCUGAGAGGGUGACCGGCCACAUUGGGACUGAGAUACGGCCCAGACUCCUACGGGAGGCAGCAGUGGGGAAUAUUGCACAAUGGGCGGAAGCCUGAUGCAGCAACGCCGCGUGCGGGAUGACGGCCUCCGGGUUGUAAACCGCUUUCGCCUGUGACGAAGCGUGAGUGACGGUAAUGGGUAAAGAAGCACCGGCUAACUACGUGCCAGCAGCCGCGGUGAUACGUAGGGUGCGAGCGUUGUCCGGAUUUAUUGGGCGUAAAGGGCUCGUAGGUGGUUGAUCGCGUCGGAAGUGUAAUCUUGGGGCUUAACCCUGAGCGUGCUUUCGAUACGGGUUGACUUGAGGAAGGUAGGGGAGAAUGGAAUUCCUGGUGGAGCGGUGGAAUGCGCAGAUAUCAGGAGGAACACCAGUGGCGAAGGCGGUUCUCUGGGCCUUUCCUGACGCUGAGGAGCGAAAGCGUGGGGAGCGAACAGGCUUAGAUACCCUGGUAGUCCACGCUGUAAACGGUGGGUACUAGGUGUGGGGUCCAUUCCACGGGUUCCGUGCCGUAGCUAACGCCUUAAGUACCCCGCCUGGGGAGUACGGCCGCAAGGCUAAAACUCAAAGGAAUUGACGGGGCCCCGCACAAGCGGCGGAGCAUGCGGAUUAAUUCGAUGCAACGCGUAGAACCUUACCUGGGUUUGACAUGGAUCGGGAGUGCUCAGAGAUGGGUGUGCCUCUUUUGGGGUCGGUUCACAGGUGGUGCAUGGCUGUCGUCAGCUCGUGUCGUGAGAUGUUGGGUUAAGUCCCGCAACGAGCGCAACCCUUGUUCACUGUUGCCAGCACGUUAUGGUGGGGACUCAGUGGAGACCGCCGGGGUCAACUCGGAGGAAGGUGGGGAUGACGUCAAGUCAUCGUGCCCCUUAUGUCCAGGGCUUCACGCAUGCUACAAUGGCUGGUACAGAGAGUGGCGAGCCUGUGAGGAUGAGCGAAUCUCGGAAAGCCGGUCUCAGUUCGGAUUGGGGUCUGCAACUCGACCUCAUGAAGUCGGAGUCGCUAGUAAUCGCAGAUCAGCAACGCUGCGGUGAAUACGUUCCCGGGGCU